rnacentral:rRNA from 1 species
CCUACGGGGGGCAGCAGUGGGGAAUAUUGCACAAUGGGCGCAAGCCUGAUGCAGCCAUGCCGCGUGUGUGAAGAAGGCCUUCGGGUUGUAAAGCACUUUCAGCGGGGAGGAAGGCGUUAAGGUUAAUAACCUUGUCGAUUGACGUUACCCGCAGAAGAAGCACCGGCUAACUCCGUGCCAGCAGCCGCGGUAAUACGGAGGGUGCAAGCGUUAAUCGGAAUUACUGGGCGUAAAGCGCACGCAGGCGGCCUGUCAAGUCGGAUGUGAAAUCCCCGGGCUCAACCUGGGAACUGCAUUCGAAACUGGCAGGCUAGAGUCUUGUAGAGGGGGGUAGAAUCCCAGGUGUAGCGGUGAAAUGCGUAGAGAUCUGGAGGAAUACCGGUGGCGAAGGCGGCCCCCUGGACAAAGACUGACGCUCAGGUGCGAAAGCGUGGGGAGCAAACAGGAUUAGAUACCCGAGUAGUC